rnacentral:rRNA from 1 species
AUGCCAUGGAAGUAUCGUUUGAAGUUUCCUUGCUGUCAAGACUUUUUUUUCAACAUCUAUGAGGUGGCAAGCAAAGUUAUGGUAACUACAGUUCAUAUAAGGGUGACUGACGAGGACUACUGCGGCCCGAUGGGAGUCGUGCUCUUCAACUACUCGGAGGCAGACUUCACCGUGAAGCCUCGCGACUGCGUCAUACAGAUUAUCAUCCAGGUGAUUGCGACGCAGGAGGUCCCCGGGGCAGAGGACCUCAACGCCACCGUCCGGAGGUCACCGAGGUGGAGGACGACGCCACCGUCUGGAGUUCCUCAAGGUGGAGGACCUCGACGCUUUGUACAUACAUCUAGAGAAGUGGUCUGGUUAGGUUGGUGGUGA